UUUUCUUUUUUUUUUUUUGUAUCGAGUGUGUAGUUUUUAUUGCAUAUCAGUUGUUUGUUAAAAUGCCCAUAUGAAAAACAACUUUUAUAUUUAGUGAAAAUGAUUCCAAAGAAGCAAGAGAUGGGCUUCCAUUACCCUGGCCAGUUCAGCAUAAUCAUCAAGCUAAGUCAGCACAUGAAUUAGGACCAUUUGGAAGCAGAUUAAGAAAAGGACCAGGUACAUCAUCAUGCACAAGAGAUCGGUUAUUAGGGAAAGGCAGUGAAUAGCUACCAUGCACCUUGCCUACGCAAGAUCGUCCCUCGGGCCCAAAAUUGAGAAAAAGGCGGGAACGGAUAUUUUUGAAUAUUAUAGUCGCAUGUUUUGUGGAGGCGUAUUACAAUAUACUAAUAAUGUGUAUGCUAACUCUUAUGUCAAACCAGGCACUAUUUCGGGAAGAAGUGGAAAGAGAUGUAAAAAAGCAGCUUAGAUGUCGGCGGGUAAGAAUCCUAUCAUGGAAUGUUGUGAGGUUAGUAGCAUAUAGACUCUCAAGAUCGGGGUUGGCAAUGUUGUAAAGUGUUUGGUUCAUGAUCAGCUUUCAUAUGCUUUAUU